UUUUUUAUUUAAAAUAGUACAAGGUUGAACUCCUGUAUUAUUCUCUGUAACAAGUACAUGUGCCAUCCAAGUGCUGCUUUCAUCACCUGUGGGGUGGGGUUUGAGGGAGAAAGAGGACAAGGUUAACAAAUUUGGAAGAAACUCAAUGUAUACAACCAACUCUCGGUCUGACCAUAUGCAACUUAUUGCAUUAAAAGUUAAAAUCACUCGGUGAAACAUGUUUUUUUAUCAGAAGGAAAACAAAAGUAAAGGUUUUGCAAAGCCAGGAAAAAUAAAGUAACCAUGCCACAGGAGACAAAAGACAAGUAAAAUCAGACAGAAAAUCUAACCUCAGGUCUGAGGAAUGCAGUACCAAAGCUCUGUAAUUGCUGUGAACCAAGUAGGAAGAUGCAUGAGUAGAGAUGGCCAGAGAUCUGCAAAACAGAAAAGGUAAGCUUAAAAAAAGAGGAGUAGAACCAACAAGGACAAACAGGUUCAGAUCUGAAGCACUGACCUGACAGCUUUGGUAGGCUGCACAAAAACAAAAGGAAAAAAAGAGAAUGCAAAGAUUUGGCUACUUCUGUCUUCCAUCAGGAGUGCUUGAUACUAAUGGGCAGCAUCAGAUUUCUCAAUAUUAGCUUUACUUUAUGCGGCAAAUAGCAAAAAAUAUCUGAUAGUAUGGUAUUAAACAGAAUCUUACAGAAGAAUGUUCCCUCUUGGUUGAAACGUGCCAUUUUUGUCUGUGUGUGUUCCUUCUACGUGCAAUUUUUAUCUGUAUUAUUUCUACAGUUUUGGAAAGUUAAGACAUUAGUACCAGGGAAUUUUGAAGCUUAUCAGAAAAGCUCUAGAGCAUUCCUUCAGUUCUUGUAUCUAAGGGGUUUAUGAACAUUUUCUCAGUUGCACAAGACAGAAAACACUGGAGGAUUCUGCAGGCAGAAAUUAGAACUGCUAAUAAAUCUACCACAUGGUAUUUAUUUACUCAAGUAAUUACUUUGCUUCAGAUAGGAAAAAGAACAGCUUUUGUAAAUGUACCAGAGUGAGAGACAUGGCAAAUUUGCUUCUUGGGACCAUACCUAUAGGAAAGAGAACACCACUGUCCAGCUGCAGCCCAAGGCUCACUGCAGUGUCAAACACAGCAUUUGUAAACUCUGAUUACAGUGCAUUAUUCCUGGACUGUGUUUUGGAAGAGGACACGAAGAUAAAGUCUGCUGCUCCCUUCAAAGCUGACAAACCUCCAACAAGAUUUCCUAACAGAUAAAGACCAUCAGCAGCAAACCAUUUGUUUACCUGAAGUAUAUUGACCUCCACGUAGUGAAUAUUUUUCUUCUCCAUGAUCAACCCAGCUGGUUUGUAAAUGAUACUGGUAUCAGUGCCUCAUGGGUGGAGGCACUGCUAUGCAGACGUAGAGGGAUCAGCAAUGGUGCCUAUGACACCUUCUGACUUAAGAGUGUGUGAGUUUGUGUGUGCAGAUCUUGUCACAUGCCCUUUUGUUUGCAGCAUGUUCAAAUCUCCUUCCACCAUGUACGUCACAGUCUUCCAGUCUGACGGAAAACACAGCUCUGUGGUUUGGCAUCUCUUGCCCAUGAUCCCUGCAGGUCAGUGGACUACUUCUACAAAGAAUAAUUAUAAAAAACCAGCCUUGUAGUAGUCUCUUGGUCAUGCACUUUCAUAGGAUU
rnacentral:lncRNA from 1 species